rnacentral:rRNA from 1 species
GUAGGUGGCAAGCGUUGUCCGGAAUUAUUGGGCGUAAGCGCGCGCAGGCGGUCCUUUAAGUCUGAUGUGAAAGCCCACGGCUCAACCGUGGAGGGUCAUUGGAAACUGGGGGACUUGAGUACAGAAGAGGAAAGCGGAAUUCCAAGUGUAGCGGUGAAAUGCGUAGAGAUUUGGAGGAACACCAGUGGCGAAGGCGGCUUUCUGGUCUGUAACUGACGCUGAGGCGCGAAAGCGUGGGGAGCAAACAGGGAUUAGAUACCCUGGUAGUCCACGCCGUAAACGAUGAGUGCUAAGUGUUAGGGGGUUUCCCGCCCCUUAGUGCUGCAGCUAACGCAUUAAGCACUCCGCCUGGGGAGUACGGCCGCAAGGCUG